CACCUUUGACAUGUACGGAACCCUCUAGAGAUAGAGGGGUGCUCGAAAGAGAGCCGUAACAC
rnacentral:rRNA from 1 species